UGAGCUCCCAGCUCCUCUGAGUUUGUAUUUCUGGGCUUCUGAACGGCAGGACUUGCACACACUUAUAAAUGGAGAUCGUUGCUGUGUUCCUAACGCUGAAGGUGGAUAUUGGGACAUCCAGAGGAGAGAGGUGACCCUCAAACACAAAUGGGAGAAAGAGAGGGAAGGGGAGAGCCUGAGGGACAGGAGGCCUGGGAGACCGUCUCUAUCACAUCACAGUGUGGCCUGGAAGGGGGUGGGCAGGCCUGUGCACUGGUCUCCAGGACCAAGUGAGGGAGGAAGGACCCCUACAGCCAUGUUGACAGCAUCUUCCCCGUGGAGGGGAGGAGGGCAGAAGAUCUCACUACCUUGGACUCUCUAGUUAGCACUUCCUCAAACGUUAGCUUGAUUUACUGAGAAAUUGGAAGCAUCUGAAUGCAGGACAACGACACGAAAGAGACAGAGUCUUACUGUACCACCCUCCAGUAGAGUGCCAUGGCGUCACAGAUCACAGCAACCUCCAACUCUUGGGCUUACGCAAUUCUCUUGCCUCAGCCUCCCAAGCAGCUGGGACUAUAGGCACCCGCCACAACGCCCAGCCAUUUUUUUGUUGCAGUUUGGCCGGGGCUGGGUUUGAACCCACCACCCCCGGCAUAUGGGGCCCGUGCCCUACUCACUGAGCCACAGGCGUCGCCCAUAACAACAUUAUUUCUAAUAGCCAAAAGGUGGAAUAAUCCAAAUUUCCAUCAACUGAUGACUAGAUAAACAAAAUGUAUAAAUACAAUCCACACAAUGGAAUAUUAUUAAGCCAGCAAAAGGAAUGAAGUAUUAAUAUAGACGACAAUGUGGGUGAUGUGGAAAGCAUGCUGAGGGAAAGAAGACAGACACAAAGGCUACAUUUUGUAUUACUUUGUAAUUAUACAUAAGAUGCCCAGAAUAAACAAAUGUAUAGGAAUAGAAAGUAGAUUGGUGUUUGUUAUGGGACAGGGGUAGAGGUGAGGAAAAUGGGAAGUCAGUCCGGAUGGGUGUGGAUUUCUUUCUGGAGCAAUGAAAUGUGGUGAUGGUGGCACUAUGUCACUUGAAUGUACUAAAAGCCAUUGUAUUGUACACUUCAAAAGGGUGAAUUUUAUGAUAUGUGAAAUUGAUCUAAAUAAAGC